UACGGAGGGUGCAAACGUUGCUCGGAAUUAUUGGGCGUAAAGCGCACGUAGGCGGUCCGGCAAGUCGGGUGUGAAAGCCCUCGGCUUAACCGAGGAAGUGCAUUCGAAACUACUGGACUUGAAUACUGGAGAGGAUCGCGGAAUUCCCGGUGUAGAGGUGAAAUUCGUAGAUAUCGGGAGGAACACCAGUGGCGAAGGCGGCAUCCUGGACCGGCAUUGACGCUGAGGCGCGAAAGCUAGGGGAGCAAACGGG
rnacentral:rRNA from 1 species